UACGGGGGAUGCAAGCGUUAUCCGGAAUCACUGGGCGUAAAGCGCCUGUAGGUUGUUUACUAAGUCUGUUGUUAAAGCCUAGGGCUUAACCCUGGGAAAGCAAUGGAAACUAGUAGACUAGAGUAUGGCAGGGGUAGAGGGAAUUUCUAGUGUAGCGGUGAAAUGCGUAGAUAUUAGAAAGAACACCGGUGGCGAAGGCGCUCUACUGGACCAUUACUGACACUCAGAGGCGAAAGCUAGGGUAGCAAAAGGGAUUAGAUACCCCUGUAGUCCUAGCCGUAAACGAUGGAUACUAGAUGUUGUGCAUAAUGUACAGUAUCGUAGCUAACGCGUUAAGUAUCCCGCCUGGGGAGUACGCUCGCAAGGGUG
rnacentral:rRNA from 1 species